rnacentral:rRNA from 1 species
UACCUAUAAAAAGAACACACCUUGUACUCCAACUUCACAGGGUGAGCUCUUCAUCACACGGUGACGUUAGGGGUCCAGGAGGAAAAGGAGCAACACCGGUGUCGAGGCCGGUACCGCUACUCGAAGAACAGGUGGCGAUUGUGUAGCAAGCACGGGAAGGCGGCGGAGAGGGCGGUGUUCGGGUGGCGGCGGGGGAGCGAGGGCAAGGGGUAGUUAGCGACGGCGAGUGGGAGGACGAGGGAAGAGGGAAGGGUCGCGGCCGCGGAGAAGAGAAGGUUCUGGGGGUGGUGGUUGGAGGAGAGUAGUUAGUGCCGGCGGUGCUCUUGGGACGAGAAGGAAGAGCAGCGGAGGUAGGAGAGGGAGAGGCCGCAGGCCGCGGGGGAGGGCAGUGAGCGGCGGGGAGGGGGUGGGUGCGUCGUUGGCGUUCUGCUGUGGUUCCCUGUCGUUCUUCUUCUUGGGCUGGUUCCCCUAGUCCUUCUCCUCCUGCUCCGCCUCACCAAAGCCUUCCUCCUCCUCCUCCACCUCCGCCGGACCUACGUCGGUUCGCUGCUGCUCCUCCUCCUUCUCCUGCUGCUGCUCCAGGUCUACAUGGACCUCCAGGACUCGCUCCUGGGCCCGCUGCACCUGCGCGAGUUCACGCACGAGAAGCGGUCCUACGCCGCGUUCCUGACCCCGCCGCGCGACGCGAUGCGCCGCGUCGACGCCCUCCGGCUCGGGCCGCUCCACCUCACCGCCGAGUACCUCCGCGACGACGUGCUCGAGUUCCCCCUGUAGCGGUGGCGGCUCGCCGAGAAGGUCCUCCAGGAGCGCCUCUUCGGGGAGGAGCAGGCCCGAGAGGUACCUGAGCGUAACACGUACGUAUUUUCUGAGCUUCCUGGUUGACAAAAACUCUACGACCUCUUUCGAAACGUUGAGCAUCAUAGGCUCCUUUCCCAGGGUCUUCUCGCGUUGUAUUUCGAAGACUAACGUGUCUACGUACAACAGUUCCCACUGGACCUACAACGUAGUCUCUUUAACUCUUGAGAAUAAUUACUCCUAGGUUCCCUGAAAGCCGGAGUAGAAACGGUCCCGUAACAUAUACGUGAAAACCUGUUUUUCCUUCUUCGUCUGCUCGUUAAACUACACAUGUCUUCGGAACACGGCCUGCUCAAGGGCCUGUUCUCAAAAUAGUUACUACAAUAUGAUAACCGGUUUCACCUCAGUUUUCUAGCCGAUGUCUUCCUGAAAUCUAGUCUCAUGGAUAGAUUUUUCACUGUGAAGUCCAAAAGGAUAUGGACUUGCCGAGAAGUAUGAAUCACUCCAUCGAGGUCUAUCAACGCAUAAAUACGCGUAUGUUACUGUGUUUCACGUUAUAACGAUAUUCACUCUUACGUCAUAUUACUUCUAUUCACUUCCUCUACACCUAGAGGACAUUGGAUUGGUCCAAGGAUGUUGAAAAUCGAGUACACAAUUAGGAGUUUGCCAACGGUGUGUUGGUACUUAACGUAUACCUACACGUGCUUUACGAAUUCUGGAAGAUUAAAGACUGUCUCUACGUGGCAAAGCAACUGGAGAGAAGCAGAAUUUACCUCCGAUUAAGACCUUGCUCGCGGCGGCGAGGGAGCAGAGCUACUACUCUCGACUUCGUGACUACCCAUGCUCUUGGCAUUACGAACAUUUACAGAAGGAAAACGCGCCCUUAUGAUCAAUUUCAGUAAGCCGACCAUUUAAACCGAGUUGAAACACGAUAUACCUUGAAUACGUAAAAACGACAUUCUUAUCCGUACCCUUGUUUUUCCCUUUAGCACAAAUCUUUUUACCUUUGUCAACUAGCUUGUCAUUUAAUCGUUGUUGAUUAAUUCGUCUACUCUAUGCAGUAUGUAGUGGCGUUACGGAUUACCUCGUAAAAAAACUGUCAUACGGUGUGUCACGGAAAACCAAAACGAAUGGCUCUACAACAUACUUUUCUCUUUUUUUGAUGAGGUAAAUAGCUUUUUCCGAAACGGGG